CUAAUUAAGAAAACAUUCAAGAACCCUCUUGCAAUUAUGCAAGCACAUAAUGUAAUCUGAAAACUGCUGCCCUGAUUAAAAAAAAAACAAUGCAACCGAUUUCA